AUGAUCAUACUUCAUAGGAUCAAUUCUAUAGUGUGAUUGCCGAGUCCCUCGUCAAGAAACUCGGAUAAAAUUCAACCACGAUGAGGAUCUUAGUGUAAUCCUCUGAGCGGGAAGCGGCUCUUAAGUUCUGCUUAAGAGUUUUGAUGAUGACCGAAUUAGACUCAUUAGCAGAUUUUUCGACCUCAGGCUGGU
rnacentral:snoRNA from 1 species